GGGGCAGUGGUCUAGUUUGGUAGGAUACGUGCCCGGGGCGCACGUGAUCGGGAGUUCGAAUCUUCCCUGCCCCA
rnacentral:tRNA from 1 species